CCCUUAGAUGUUCUGGGCCGCACGCGUGCUACACUGAGUAAAUCAAUGGGUAAGGGAACACGAAAGUGCAACCUAAUCUUGAAAUUUGCUCGUGAUGGGGAUCGACGGUUGCAAUUUUCCGUCGUGAACGAGGAAUACCUUGUAGGCGCGUGUCAUCAUCACGCGCCGAAUACGUCCCUGCCCUUUGUACACACCGCCCGUCGCUCCUACCGAUUGAGUGAUCCGGUGAGGCUCUGGGACCUGGACGGAAAGAGCGUUUCGCUUGUUCUGUUUGGGAAACUUGGUCGAACCUUAUCAUUUAUAGGAAGGAGAAGUCGUAACA
rnacentral:rRNA from 1 species